GGGUCGAUACUUUCAAAUUAAUAAUGGCCUUGAAUCUUUAAUACAGGACGGACUCCCGCAACCAACGCUGGUUCAAAUCCAGCUCGACCCA
rfam:Picea glauca, whole genome shotgun sequence.